rnacentral:rRNA from 1 species
UACGUAGGGUGCAAGCGUUACUCGGAAUUACUGGGCGUAAAGCGUGCGCAGGCGGUUGUUUAAGACCGAUGUGAAAUCCCCGGGCUUAACCUGGGAAUGGCAUUGGUGACUGCACGGCUAGAGUGUGUCAGAGGGGGGUAAAAUUCCACGUGUAGCAGUGAAAUGCGUAGAGAUGUGGAGGAAUACCGAUGGCGAAGGCAGCCCCCUGGGAUAACACUGACGCUCAUGCACGAAAGCGUGGGGAGCAAACAGG